CAAGCCGAUGAUCCGUAGGGGGCGUGAGAGCGUGGCCCCCCACACUGGCACUGAGACACGGGCCAGACUCCUACGGGAGGCAGCAGUGAGGAAUAUUGCACAAUGGGCGCAAGCCUGAUGCAGCAACGCCGCGUGAGGGACGAAGGCCUUCGGGUUGUAAACCUCUUUUCUGAGGGACGAGGAAGGACGGUACCUCAGGAAUAAGUCUCGGCUAACUACGUGCCAGCAGCCGCGGUAAAACGUAGGAGGCGAGCGUUAUCCGGAUUUACUGGGCGUAAAGCGCGCGCAGGUGGCUUCGUGAGUCGGACAUGAAAGCUCCUGGCUUAACUGGGAGAGGCUGUUCGAUACUGCGGGGCUUGAGGUUGGGAGAGGGACGCGGAAUUCCCGGUGUAGUGGUGGAAUGCGUAGAUAUCGGGAGGAACACCAGUGGCGCAAGCGGCGUCCUGGCCCACACCUGACGCUGAGGUGCGAAAGCGUGGGUAGCAAACAGGAUUAGAUACCCUGGUAGUCCACGCUGUAAACGAUGUCAACUGGGUGUCGGUAGUUUUACACUAUCGGUGCCGAAGCUAACGCG
rnacentral:rRNA from 1 species